AUAGUCUCAAAUAGCAAUGAGUAGCAACAACUGGUGUGUACAUUAGUACAUGCCUUAAAAUUAUUGGUACAAACUCUAUUUGGAGAAAAAUAUACAUUGAAGAGCUGUUUUGAAGUGAAUCUUAAUCAGUAAAAUUACAAUUUAGUAUAGUAGCUUCAACUGAGAUAGCAAUAGUCACAAUUCACACAGUUCAAAAUAAUUUGCCAUGAGGCAUCUGUACUUGUGAAACUUGCUGUGGUUUGGGUUGGUAGCUCUUGAAACUCAUAGCCAGAUCUGUACUGCACCUGUGAAACCAGCUGUGGUUUAGGUUGGUUGCUCUCCUGAUUCAUGGCCAGACUUCCUCGUCAAUGCAUCAUUACUUUCAAAUUUCACAGUGUCACUCUCCUAGGUUCUGCAUCACCUUGAUUUUUAACUGGUAGAAAAUAACAGAGAGGUUGGAUUUACAGUAUCAGUAUUAUCCAAGGUUAUCGAGUACAGGAAAGAGAACCCUCAUGUAACACAUAAGCAGAAAAAUCUAGGAAUCUUUCUGAAAUAGAAGGGCAGAGAAAAGGUUGGUAUUUUACUCCAUGAGUGAGUAUGCUUGCAGAUCUCGCUAUGAUACAUCUGAGAUGGAAUUCUUUUGAGGAAGGUGUAUUAACUGGUUAGAAAACUUCAGUGAAGUUAGCAGUUGCCUUCUUGCAUUUGACAUGAUUAAAACUCAUGAACAGUAAUUCUAGAUAAUAAGUAAGAACUGGGAUACGUAAUAGAUUUAUUUCUCAGUGUGUGCAGGGGUGGGGGUUGCCAUGGUGUGCAUGUAGAGGUGAAAGGAUAAUUAGGCAGUGAUUCUGAGACUGAACUCAGGUCUUCCUACCUUACAGUGAGUGGAUUUAUCAGUGAGUAUUUUUACAGACCAUAUCUCUGUUUUGCUGUUGUUGUUUUUGUCAUCCUCAUUUUUACUUCCUCAGUAAACAGAUACGAUGAAAGACAUACCCAAGUUUAACAAAUGCAUGGCUUAGCCUGAGCCAAGAAAGUGUCUAUUUAAAUAUUCCUAGGCCUAGGCAUGGAAAAUUCUAGUAGGUACAAAAUGUAGUCUUCCACAGGCUUGGAUCUGGAAGGCUUCAGUUAUAGCCUUUCUCUGUUAACUUAUGUCUAGAAAUUUUUAGCCUCUGAGAUUUACUGUGGAAUAAACUAACUCUCUGUGAUCUCUGGCUGGCUGGUUCAAGCUCAUCUGUUGUGGCUCAAACUCCUCUCCAAGCUGACUUAACUCAAAUUAGUUUCUCUCUGCUUCUGACUGUAUUGCUCUGCUUGGAAGAACUGCCUCUGAAUGCCACAAACUCUACUACAUGGAUUGUAUGAAUGGGACAGAUCUGAAACUGAACAAAACUGCUGGAAUUCAACUGAGCUGAACUGUACUCAACUGAACUGCAAGGAACUGAAGUGAACUCUCCCUUCGCUGCUCUUAGUGUGAAGAUAUCGUUCCAGUUAGAUUAUCACCAGAAAGUGAAAUGCCACUCAGUUUUGUUCAUAAAGGAAUAGGUGACCCUCACAGACAUACCUCUGAACACUAAGGUAUCCCCUUAUGUUGGGGCAAUUCCACAGUGACAGAAACUGAUACUAUCCCCUACAAAUAUGGAAGCAUGAGAGACUAUUUCACAAGAACCAUUCAACAGUCAACCAAGCAGAACUCUGGAGCUAGUAGGAAGAAUCAAGAAGGAGAAAGUGACCAUAAGUGAUGCUGUACUGCCACAAGAGAUCUGAUGUCUCCGCACUGCACUUGCAGCACAGUUUGUAAACAUCCACUCUCUUACCUUCUGAUUGGCUUUAAUAACAACCUAGUAAACACAGAAGUGGAUGCUCACAGUCAACUAUUGGAUGGAUCACAGGACCCCCAAUGGAGGAGCUAGAGAAAGUAUCCAAGGAGCUGAAGGGAUCUGCAACCCUAUAGGUGGAACAACAUUAUGAACUAACCAGUACCCCGGAGCUCUUGACUAUAGCUGCAUAUGUAUCAAAAGAUGGCCUAGUCGGCCAUCAAUGGAAAGAGAGGCCCAUUGGUCAGGCAAACUUUAUAUGCCCCAGUACAGGGGAAAGCCAGGGCCAAAAAAUGGAAAUGGGUGGGUAGGGGAGUGGGGAGUGAGGGUGAGGGGGACUUUUGGGAUAGCAUUGGAAAUGUAAUUGAGGAAAAUACGUAAUAAAAAAAUCAAAAAACAAAACAAAACAAAACAAAAAAACAAAACAACCUGGUACCCUGAAGCAGAGCAAGUGAGGAUAGACAGGACUUAUGGAGAGAGAUUGAAUUGUAGGAUAGAGUCAGGUUGGGAGAACUUUCACCAGCUUGACAUGGAGGGAAAGGCAGACCCUGGUACUAGAGACUGAGAGGUCCCAAGCCUUGUGGCUGAACUUAGAAUAGAUUAAUGAGUUAAUAAGUUACAAGGUAAUUGGAAAGAAGCCUAGUUAUAAGGCUUAGGCAUUCAUAAAUAAAUAUGUCUCUUUGUCAGUAUUCAGAGCUGGGGCAGGCAUAGAAAGGCUUUAGGGUUACAGAGUUCAGUGUCAAGAAACUUUUUGUUUGACUCUUAGUUAUAAAACUGAAAUAUAUUGCUUCAGUGAGUAUAUUAUUUUGCCUUUAGCAAAUUUAUGCAUGUAAACGCCUUGGUUUUUAUAAAAAUGAAAUGAUAUGAAAUUCUUGUUUGCUUAAAGCUAGUAUGCUUAUUGAGUGGCUUAUAGUAUGUCACUGCUCAAUAAUCACCAUAUAAUAUGAUUAUGCACAGAAUUUUAUUACUUUAUGGCCAAGUACCGAGACAAUACUUUGGCUAAUCCAUAGCUGGCAGCAAAGCAACUAUUGCCAACAGUGUAUGAUGAUCUAUGCUUUUCAUGUUUAUCUUUGUUGAGAUAAAACAUGAAGUAAUACCAAAGUACUUAUCAAAACAUGAAAACUCAAAACAUCUUUGCUUAAGAACGAUUAAUUUAAUUUUUUUCAUGAUCAAAAUAAACCAGCUUUGGAGAACCAUAGAUAGCCCCUGAGUUAGCUGCUCAUGAUCAUGCCAACCACUGUAAUUUGAACUUGUAUGUUAUAUGAGGAAAUGUGUAUUUUUUAAGUGAAGGUUGAGAAUAACCAAAUAGAGAAUGCAGUGAAGUGUGUUAAUUAUUACAGUCCAUGCAUAAGUAUACAAAGAAUGUAAACAAUUUUGCAGUGAAAGAAACUGAGAUGUGAAACUAAAUGUACAAGGCACUGUUGUUAAAACAACUGAGACUUAAAAACAAAAUCAUACAGGGUCAAUAAAGCUAAGAAAUGUUGCUGCUUUUAUAACCCAACACAGCUUUCAAAUACAUGCCAAUAAGGGCUGUUUUGUCGCUGUUAAAUAGGUGAUUAAGAUAUCUCAAUCUAUGGAACUAAUGAGCAAGAAAUGAAGUUUUAAAAAGGUUCACCCUGAGAUGUAGUAGUAUGGGCACCAGCUGUUUAAAGCCGAUAAAGGAACUGAAGAAUCUGAUAUUCCUUCUAUAGCCACUACUGGCAGAAAGGCCAAAGGCUUCUAAGAGAAAUCUCUAUCUAGUACAAUGUAUGCUUUUAGUAUACAUUAGCAUAUAUGACAAUGUGCUUACAGUCAUCUAACUGAGUAGCACAUUUUCCACGUGUGACAAUUUGCAUGCUUAAUAAGACAAGGAAUUUUAUACUAUAGGUCCCUAGAAGGCAUAUCCACUAUUCAGUCUCCAUCUUUACUCCAAGUUGGGUAACAGUAAAUAUUUUUCAUUUUCUUCAAUCCAUUUAACUUUUUGAUGAUUUAAAUGUGUUCAUAUUAAUUAAAAUGAUAAAAAGACAUAUAUAUUGUUUUGCUUGCUUUGCAUGAAUAAUAACAUGGUAUAUAAAAUGUAUGUGGAUUGUUUUUUGGUAUUUUUUUUUAUGAGACAGAGUUUUUCUGAGGAAAUUUUGCUGCACUUGAAAAUAUUGAUACAGACCAUGCUGGCCUAGAAAUCACAGUGAUCUCCCUGAGUCUAUAUUUACAGGGGUUAUGGAUAUAUGCCAUUCCUGCUGUGUUUUUAAUAAGUCAUUGCUAUGUCAUAGGCUGGGCUGAAAUUUCCAAUUGCGUCCUAGUAGGAUAACAGGAAUAUGCCAUCAUACACAUCUAUAAAUAUAAUUUUUACCUCUAUAUAGAUAAAUAUUAAUAAAAUAAUUUCAUCUGAUUUCUAUAAGUGUUUUUUUUUAAGUAAAUAGUCUUAAUAUGAACUGUUUCUCAUGUGAACAGCCUAAGAAUAUACUUAUAGAUAGUGGGUACUUUUCCAUUAAGAACAGAUAAACAUAUGAUUUUAUUUCUGGAGAUUAUGUCAUUUUAAAAUAUGAAAUGUCAUAAGCACUAAGAGAAUGACAGUUCAUUUUGAGAUUAAAAUUAUGAAUUCCUAGAAAUAUCAGGCGUUUGUAUUUGUUUGUUCUUAUGGGCUAGAAAUUCAUGGGUAUGGAAUGUUCUCUUCCUUUGAGGGUUGAAAAGUGUACUAGUCAUAACAGAUAAGAGAUAGGUAAAAUGGCAUGUAAUAGCUACGUUUGGAAAAUAAGUAUAAUAUAAAAAUAUUUUAUCUUCUAUAGUUAACAACAUCUAAUUAUCAUGAGCCACAUAUAAGAGAGUAUUCAUAAUCCCUCACUGCUCACAUUGUGAGGAACUGUAGAAAAUAUUUUUAAUUGAAAGAUAUGAUUAAAACCUUGCAAUUUUCAGGAGGUUUUUAUUUAAGAGUGUUAACCUUUUUGGCAAAAGGAUAUUCUGAGUCAAUAAGUUAGAACUUCUGUUUUGAUUGAGUUCCAGGUCAUGACAUUGUAUCAAUGUUUAACAACAUCUGUGUAUGAGGCCACACGUUCAAAUUUCAUUUUAUCCUUUUUAAAUAGCUUUUUUAAAAAUAAUUCUAACCUUGCUUAUAUAACCUUUAAAGAAUUGAAGUGACAGAUGGCUUUAUUGCAGCCUUUUGUGUGUGUGUGGAGAAGCAGCACGUAUGUCCACCCACCCUUAGAAAGGGAACCAAUACUCACAACAGUUCAAUGUAAUAUUGCAAUAAAGUCCAACUAUAUGAACCAAUAACAGCGGGAGUGUGGGAGAGUUCAGUUACAAGGCGAAGGUAAAGUGAGCAGCAGCUGCUUCAUGGUAAAAAAAACCAAACAAACAAACAAACAAAAAACCAAAAACUUCAUCUUGGGAGCUGCAAAACUAGAGCUUUUUGUGUACUUCCAAGCAGCUCAACCUUUGACCUAUCCCCUUUGACCUUAGUUCAGCUGGUCAGGGUCUCCUUCCCCAGAAGCCUUGUUGUACAACUCAAGAAUCAUCCAGGUUUCUGUUCUUUUAGAUAUGUAGCUUUCUGUUGACCUCCUGAGACUCAUACACACUGCAUCCAUGUAACUGCAAAAUGGGAUUCAGAAAAUAAUUACUUUUCACUUAUGGCAUAUAUGAGAUGCGAAUAAUGUUUUAAGAAGGAAGUAAUAUGGAGUUUAUGAUAAUAAAUUAUAAAAAGAUUUUUAAGUUUCUGAGAAUAAAUUGUAAUUAGUACAGAAGUUUAAAAAUGAUUUACUCAGCUUGGAAGAUAAUUGGAUGAGGUGAAAGUAAAAUAAAUAUUUCAUUUUGAAGAAGUGAAGAAAAAUUAAAAGUUGUAAUUUGUUCUUCCUUCAUACAAUACAUCUCAACUGCAGUUUAUCCUCCUUGUACUCUUCUUCCCACUUCUUCUCCUGCCAGAUCUACUAUUCUGUCGUAUCUCUCCCAAAUAGACGGGACUUCUAGAGACAUCAACGAAAUCCAACAUAACAAGAUGCAGUAAGAUUAGGUACAAAUCUUUACAUAAAGGUGGGGAGAGACAACCUAGUAGGAGAAAAAGGAAACCAGUAACAGGCAAGAGAUUCAGAGACUCCCCAAAUCACACUGUCAGGAGUCUUCCAAAAACAUCAACCCAAUAACUAUACCAUAUAGGAACAGAAUCUAGCACAGGCCCAUGUAGACUCCACACUUGCCACUUGACUCUUCCUGAACUCUCUGAUACCUGCUUAGUUGAUUCUGUGUGACGUGUUCUGGUAUCCUCAACCCUUCUGGCUUCCCUAAUUUUUCCUCUUGCUCUUCUUGAGGUUCUCUGAGCUCCAAAUGUGGGGAGCCAAUGGUGACUUCCAGCCUAGAUGCUUUCCCUGCCUCCUAUUUGGCUGUAGGUCUCUGCAUCUGCUCCCUUAGCUGCCAGAGGCAGCCUCUCUGAUUGGGACUCUUCUAAGCACUCAUAUUUUGAAUCAGAAAUAACUAUGGAAAAACAUAAGACAACAAGUUAACCAUAUUUAUUUUAUAUUGUUUUCCUCAUAAAUCCUAUCCAUAGUAUGAGAGUAUUUUUGAGUUAGAAUUCCUUUUUAUGUUUUGUUUUGUUUUGUUUUGCUUUUUUGUUUUUUGGUUUUUUGGGUUUUUUUUGUUUUGUUUUGUUUUUUUCCAGACAGGGUUUCUCUGUGUAGCCCUGGCUGUCCUGGAACUCACUCUGUAGACCAGGCUGGCCUCUAACUCAGAAAUCCAUCUGCUUCUGCCUCCCAAAUGCUGGGAUUAAAGGUGUGCACCAGGACUGUCCGGCGCAUUAGAAUUCUUGAUCUACAUACAGGCUUAAGAGAAUUGCAUGGUCAUGUAGGUAUUUAAUGAACGAAUAUGUUUCAGUGUUUUGAGGCUAUUGAAAAGAUUCAGAUACUGAUUUUAGUUGGACUGUCAUCUACACUGGCAAGUUUCCAUCCUAAAGCCCAACGCCAUGCUCUGUUUUAUUCAUACACACACACACUCACAAGCCAGCAUGCUGUGUGUGUGUGUGUGUGUGUGUGUGUGUGUGUGUGUGUGUGUGUAUUUUCCCUCUCUCCUUGGUUAAAAAUGUAACAACUUCUUUUUCAAUCUAUCUCAAGUUUUCAAUCCAUCCAGGUUAUUCUCCACAAGCUAAGGGGCAAACAGAAUUUAGGAACCCUGGAUUUAAAAGGUCAAACAAACAAACCAAACCAUAAUACUGACAAUAUGGUAGGUAAAUUUCAUUGGUGGCUAAGUACAGGGCAAGAUCCAUGUGUUCCCAUCUAAGCUAAUUCCUGUCAACACCAAAUUCACACAUUUCCAUACUUGCCCCGAUCCAGAAACUUGUACGCUCCUGUCUUCAUGGGAAAUAGGAGAGCUUAACUCCUAGAAAAGGAGAGACAAACAGAGUUUUUGUCAUUUUGUUCAUUUUCUGUUUUGAAACUGUUGCCAUAGCAAUGCCAUUUCAUCUUAAAUAUGACAAUUAUUUUCGAGGCACGGAUCUUCUAGAUUGUACAAAUCUGGCCUUCUCCUCUUCUCCCCAUAACCUAUUUUAAAGAAUCAUCUUAUUCUCUGGUGUCUGGGUCUUAAAUGUAGGUUCAAAUUCCUUUUGUCAAGGUCUCUAGACUCUAUCUACGUCAAUCUCUCUCAUUCCUAUCUUUAACAUCACAUGCAUGUACCUUAUCAUCCUUUAUUGACUUCUACAUCUCUAGCAUUUUUAAUUAGCUUUCAAUAUUAAACCAUUAAUUAGCUUUCAAUAUUAAACCAUCUUAUUUUCUUAAGAUACAUAUAUUUUACCGAGUAACUGAUUUUAUAAUAUGUGAAAUUAGUUAAUCUGUUAGACUGUUGCUUAGUGACCUUGGAUAUUUUUUUAAAUAAUUGUACAUGGAGCUUUGGAUUAAGGGGCAUAGAAGCAUAAUUAUUAAUAUUGAACUUUUACUUAUUUGGAAAGACCUUCUCUUUUAAAGAUAGAAUGGAAGCUUGGCUCUUCAGCUAUAUUAAUCACACUGUGCAUUUCCAGCAGUAAAGAUUAGUUACAUCAUAGUUAUUUAAACUAUAUUAAUCCAACAUAUUUACAAAACAUUCAUAUUGCAUAUUUAACCUGCUUACUUACAAGUCAAUAUAAGUAAAUACAAUCUGAUGAUAAAUUUUGAUGAAAUGGAGUUUGAAACAUUUUAAUUAUGAGAAAUAUAAACACACAAUGCACACAUCUAUUAUUCUUAUUAAAAUUAUAUUUCCUGUCACACCAUUGAUUAUAAAUCUCAAGAAACUGCUGUCUCUAACACAAUUAAAAAUGAGGACUACUGAAGAUGAAUUUCAUAAUAGUUGAGAAAAGAAACACAGAGUCCCACACCUUGGGACAUAUACCUACUCAUGCUUCUGAGAGCACAAAGGGAAAGGAGAGGAGAGCCUGGAGCCUGGACACCAUCUGCUGUUCUGCUGUUAGUUUACAAAGCUUGUCUAUUCUUUAGCCUGCCCACCCCCCCCUUUCUCUUUCUCCUUUUCUUUUUUUUUCUUUUCUUCUUUUUUUUUUCUUUUUUUUAACCUCUACUGAGUUUUCUCCCAUUGGCCUUAUGAUAGUUGAGAUGUUGCAGUUUGAGAGUUAUGCUCUGAAAUCUCUGCCUUACGCUAUCCUGAGAAAUGAAUCUAUAGGAGAGGCUCAUUUCUCUUUGAUAAAGAUUCUCAUUUAUCUCAGAUGCAGAAAGAACUGACAUGCACACAUGACCUAGACUAAGCACACUAAAUGAAAAGUGAGGAAGAGUAGGUCUCUCCCCUUAUUUUUUGUUUUGUUUUGUUUUUGUUUAUUUUCUCCCCUUAUUUUUAAUAGUGAGCUUUUACUUUUUUUAUAUAUAUUUGUACCUUUGAAUCUUUAUGCCAUCAGUGUUAUAGUAGGUGGCUGAAAUAUUUGAGUAGAAAAAUUAAAUGAGUUACACAAGCCCAUUAUUUCUUAUUUGAGAAUUUUCAGGAAAGAAAUUGUGUGUUUAACAGUUAUCAUAUAAACAUUCAAUUAAGUAAAAAGAAGCUGAAUGAAUGGAAAUCUUUAUUUCAUUAUGUAGCAUAGUAUCUAAAGUCUAACUUGAAAGCAUCUAACCUUGGAGAAAUGGCAACGAAGGCCGUAAAAGGUUCAGAGAAUAUUCUUAAAGAAAAAUAACUAAAGCUCUCUUUUGGGAUUUGCAAAUAUCACAGUAUCUAACUUCAAAAUCCAAGUGGUCAGGACAUUAUAUUUUAAAAAUGACGAAUUAUUUAUAUGUAGCAUUGUGCUGUGUGGAAUGAUCUGCUCGGGGAAACUGAUUUAUGUAUUAUUAAAUUUUAGAGCUCUAAGAUGGAGAAAUUCAAGAAUAACUUUAGACUUUUCAUUUCUCAACUAGGCCUUAGGGGUAAUUGGACCAAUAAAAUAGAAGCUCUUAAUUUAUAUGAAGGAGUUUUAAGAACCAUUAAAAGCAGACUUGAUUUUUAAUGAAGCAGAUGCUUAGAAGUAUAAAGGAUGGGGAGAAUAUUAAGAAGUGUUUGAAGCCUGCUUGGUAAAAUGUGAAUAAAAAUGGUAUAGGAACCAUGAAGAGGAGCUCUUAGCUGUAGUAUCUACUCCACCUAUAGACCACUUGCCACAAUUAGGAUACUUUUCUGUACCUAAGAAGGACUAAUCCCAGUUAGUCCUUAGUACUCCUCUACAUUUUAUUCCCUGCUAAUGUUCCCAGCUACAUAAUUGAGGUUUGCUCAAAUGUUGACUCCUUAAUAAGGCCAUCACUGCCAUAGAAAUUGGCCUUUCUACUGAUCCAUAACCAUUGCUUGCUUUGUACUGCUAUAAGAGCAUCCGUUAUGACCUGCCAUCAUUCUAUUUUAAAAUUUAUGCCCUGAUUUCCAAUUACCAAAUAAUUUGCUUGACAUAAGUAAUUUAUGUACUUUUUGCACAGUGAGCCUGAGACAUACUGCACAAACAGGAGAUGGGAAGGAAAAAAUUGUAUUUAUAAUUUCAAUGGGUAAAUAGGCUUCUAAGUUCUCAUGUUGAAAAAGUAGAAUUCGACGUAGGAUAUUUAAAAAAGUAACAUUUAAUUCUUUUGUUUUGUUAAAUGUAGAAAAUAGACGUAUAAAACUUUGUUGGCUAUUUGUAUUUGGAUGCUAAGUUAAAUAUGUCCUCAGAAAAUAUUUGUUGGCUCUUGGUAGUUGUCUAAUAUUGCUAUACUACUAUACAUAAUUGUAUGAUAAUUGAUCAGUGUCCUAUAUUAUAAAAAUCAAAAUUCAAACUCAAAUUAUUAAUUAUUAAGCCCUGUCACAAUGCUACCAAGUAUCUAUUAUUAGACUGGAUAUUGUGCAUUUGUGUAUAACUUGAAAAAUUAUUGAAUUAGUUUGCCAUGUCUCUGGUUUUAUUGUAAAUACUUAGAUAAUGUUACAUUGUUACAUCAUUUAAAUAUUGCCAAACAAGUAAUGCCUACUUAAUAUAUAUGGCUAUUAUAAUGGAUGAGCAAACAACUUCAUAUUGAUAAAUUAAACAAAAUUGAAAAAAUAAAAAGAGACUAAUGUGAAAUGGAAAUUAC